AUUGAACGCUGGCGGCAUGCCUUACACAUGCAAGUCGAACGGCAGCACGGGUGCUUGCACCUGGUGGCGAGUGGCGAACGGGUGAGUAAUACAUCGGAACGUACCUUAUCGUGGGGGAUAACGCAGCGAAAGCUGUGCUAAUACCGCAUACGCCCUGAGGGGGAAAGCGGGGGAUCGCAAGACCUCGCGCGAUUAGAGCGGCCGAUGCCUGAUUAGCUUGUUGGUGGGGUAAAAGCCCACCAUGGCGACGAUCAGUAGCUGGUCUGAGAGGACGAUCAGCCACACUGGGACUGGGACACGGCCCAGACUCCUACGGGAGGCAGCAGUGGGGAAUUUUGGACAAUGGGGGCAACCCUGAUCCAGCAAUGCCGCGUGAGUGAAGAAGGCCUUCGGGUUGUAAAGCUCUUUUGUCAGGGAAGAAACACCGGCUCUAACACAGUCCGGGAAUGACGGUACCUGAAGAAUAAGCACCGGCUAACUACGUGCCAGCCGCCGCCGUAA
rnacentral:rRNA from 1 species